rnacentral:rRNA from 1 species
UACGGGGGGGGCAAGCGUUGUUCGGAAUUACUGGGCGUAAAGGGCUCGUAGGCGGCCAACUAAGUCGGAUGUGAAAUCCCCAGGCUUAACCUGGGAACUGCAUCCGAUACUGGAUGGCUUGAAUCCGGGAGAGGGAUGCAGAAUUCCAGGUGUAGCGGUGAAAUGCGUAGAUAUCUGGAGGAACACCCGUGGCGAAGGCGGCUCUCUGGGACGGUACUGACGCUGAGACGCGAAAGCGUGGGGAGCGAACAGG